GGCCACGCCCCACCUUUUGUAGGCCCACGGAUCAAUUUCACCCUCCCCCCCCCAAAAAAAACAAAAAUAUAUCUACAGUCAGUCGGGGUCUCAACCACCGGAGGUUGAUAGCACCUUAAUUAGGGAGAACAGGCUCGUGGUAAUGGUUUCCAUGUGUUUGAUGCCAUCCCAUUUGCUCCGUUCCAGCCAUUAUUAUAAGCCGUCCUCCCCUCAGCAGCCUCCACUGGUCUCAACUUACUGUUGAGAGUUAGAAUAGUAGAAUACUUGAGGUGCAAUUUUGCAUAUGGGGUGGCAGCGUAACCUAGUGGUUAGAGCGUUGGACUUUGUAACCAAAAGGUUGCAAGAUUGAAUCCCCGAGCCGACAAGGUAUAAAUCUGUCAUUCUGCCCCUGAACAGGCAGUUAACCCACUGUUCCUAGGCCAUCAUUGAAAAUAUGAAUUAGUUCUUAACUGACUUGCCUAUUUAAAUAAAAAAAUGUGUGGGUAUGGAUGUGGGUACACAGACCUGCUAGCCACUGCACUCCCUCAAAACGAGUACUUUUUUUUUGCGGCCCCCACCCCCAUCAAAGUUGCCCAUCCCUGCUAUAUUUGAUAAGAAUCAAGAUAUGACCACUUAAAUCCUGAUCGAAUUAAAUUCGACCCUGGUUCUAUAAAUGUAUAUUACACGUCCCUCCAUGCAGUCUAGUUAUUAAGGAUGAGUGUGGUAUGUCAGUAUAGGUGUUUCUGAAGUUGAUUAGUUCUUAUUAUAAAGGGCUUUGGGCUGCUGAAUGUUCAACUCUCUCUCAUCUCAUUCUAAUUCAGCACAUUCUAUUACAUGUCAUUGAAUUACACACCCUAUCAGAGCCAAUUCAACCUUGGUUCCCUCGGAUCACCACAGGGAUAGCGCUACGGUGAAGUGUGUGACGUCUGCCUUUGUGCGUGUGUGUGUUUGCACUUGUGUGUUGGUGUGCUAUGUACUGUCUCUGUGUGUUGUUCCUCUGGUUGUUCUGAGAGGGAGAAGGGGGAUGGAGGGACUGAGGGAGGAGUCUUCCCAUUGGUGAGUCUCUCCACUGUGCUGAGUCACUUAGCUCUUAGGUGCAGUGCCUGUCUGCCUACCUGGGAAGAUUGUGUGUUACUUCCCUAUUACUCCUGCUUGAGCUGCCUUGUCAGUCCUGUAAGGAUUUCCUACUACUCUGUAGAAGAGGCUUUGGCUCUAAGCAGCAGCCCCAGUGAACGCGGCAGCGGCCCCCGCAGUGCGAGAGUCAGUCAGACAGGUCUGUGUGGGAAGAGUCCCAGUGAGAAGAGCAGGAGGGGUGUCAAUGGAAGAGGCUUGGCCAGCAGGCCCUCACUGCAGCCCAAACCACAAGUGCCUCCGAAGCCAGUGCACCUCCAGAGCCAGGUGACGGUGCCUGCUGGCCCCCUGCUGGCGCUGGGGCGCGUGGAGAGAGGACUCUUCAGAGCCACCAUGGAGGAGGGAGGAGGAGGGGCGGUGACUGGGAAGAGGCGGGAGAAACCCUCCAAAGUCUUGGACCUCAUCAACCACUUUGAGGAGAACAGCCAGUCGGAAAUCAAGAGGGAGGGCUCGCCACUGAAGCAGCUUAGCAAGUCCCCCCUCUGCAGCCGGCUCACCGGUGCUACCAGACAGUCUGAGCCCAAACAACGGACAACAACUUAGGCUCUGUCCCAGGAACGCCACGGAUGCUCACAAACCAGCGAAUAACGGGGUGCGCCAGAUGGACCAGAGACAGGGACAGGGAGAGUGGAUCCCCCCUGAGGACCGACACUGCCCUGGUGAAUGGGGACAUGGGGUACAGGAGCACAGAGCAGGUGGGGAUAACUCCCCUACAAACACAGAGACAGGAGACCCUUCCCGAGACAGAGACCCCCCCGAGACAGAGACCAUACCGAGAAAGAGACCCUUCCCGAGACAGAGACCCACUACCGAGACCAUACCGAGCCAGAGACCCAUACCGAGCAGACCCAUACCGGACGAGACCCAUACCGAGAC
rnacentral:lncRNA from 1 species